rnacentral:lncRNA from 1 species
UAUAUUUAAGUAGUUGAGUUUGUAUUUUUGGAAAAACUACAGUUUUCGUAAAACAACGAUUUUAGUCAAAUGUCGUAAUAAAGGUUAAAAACACCUCUGAAACCACAAAUAAAAUUCAACAGUCUAAAAAGUCCAAAAAAUACAUAACUCUCAGAGAAAUUCUACUUAAAAUAAUUAAAACCAUUAUUAAAUCAGUUUACAUCUCGUGGUUACUGUGAGACUCCAUCGCACCGAUCCGCCUAAGUCUGUGGAUUACCUGAACAGAAGAGACAAAUAUAUGUGAGUUUUUGUAAACUCAGUGUGUAACCCAACAGAAAUAGACAUACAAUACAUACAGAAUUCACAUAUACAGUCAGAUUCAGAUUCGGACCUAAGUCUUUUACAGAUAUAAAUAACAGAAUCAGAUAAACAAAACAGAAACAGUGAGUCCUACCCCCAUCCUCUACACACCAUUUUCGACCAUCCCAUCACACAUUGUGGGGAUAAAAACACCCACUCAUCCCUACACACCAUAUAGUGUCGAUAAGACACAUCACAGAUAAUAUGCAGUCAAGCUGCCAAAAUAUAGGCGAAAUGUCACCAUACAGAUCACUUCCUCCACACAUACAAAUCCCACCCCAAAUACAGAUAUAGAAAUAACAGAUUUAACAUACCUAACAUGCUUGCUUAAACAGUACAGUCAGACAUGCAUUUAGUAUCUUACUCAUAUCAGUCUAUCAGAAUACCAUAGCACACAAAAUAGGGUUUGGCUAGCCCUUAUCGACCCUACAGUAGACCUGCAGUCAAUUAGAACGACUCGUGCGAUCCUAGAAAAAAUUUCAAAAAUAAGUGCCGCUAAAAAAUGCCGCUAAAUUUUGCGACAUUUAUGUAGAAAAAUGCCGCUAUAGAAUAUGACCUUUAGCGGUGCUUUUCCCACAAACGCCAUUAAAGAAGAUGACAUUUAGCGUUGAUUUCCCACAAAUGACGCUAUAGAACAUGACCUUUAGCAGCAUGUUUUGUAAAAAGCACUGCUAAAGAACAUGACCUUUAGGGGAGCAGCACUUUCUCCACAGACGCCACUAAAGAACAUGACAUUUAGGGACGCUUUUACCAAAACCGCCGCUAAAGGUCAUGUUCUUUAGCGGCAUUUUUAGUAAAAGCACCGCUAAAAAUCAUGUUUUUUUACUGCAUUUGUUGAAAAUUGCAACUAAUUAGCAAAUUUUUAACAACCCAUUUUCAUUCAUAUAGAACCCCUAUAACGUCAAAUCCAACCAAAAACUGCAAAUCUAAAUAAUACUUCAAAUCUAAAAGAAAUAUGCAUAUGAUCUAAAUUAAUAAAUGAAAUGACAAUAUAUUAUAUUCAAAAGUUAUAUUGUUAAAAUAUUCUUACUAAGAUAGAAUAUAUAUACCUAAUACAGCAAAAUAGAACAAACACACAUCAAACAAUCACCUUCAACCAUAGUAAUAGUAUAUAUAUACCUAAUACAGCAAAAGACCCAAAUACAAACAAAACAAAAUAAUGAUAGAAUGCUUACUUUAAGAUCGACAGUUAGCUCAAACAAGCGUCACUAUGCAUGAAUUCAGCCCAAAUUUUCUGAGACACCAGGAACAUGAGACACCUGAGACAAUUGAGUGGAUGUACUAGCAACAGACAAAUUUUCUAUUCCAGGGGCACAACUAACUUCCGUUUGAUUGUAAUAAUCAGCCCAUUGCUUGUAAUGUAGCUGAUAAUGGAAAGAAUUUGUACCUGCAUUACCAGCGACAUAAGCCCCACUUGAAUCUUAAGUGUAGUUUGAAUACCGCUGAGUAGUAUAAUUUGAAUAAUUGCUCCCAUUCUAUGUGGUAGUCUGAUGAGUGUAACUACUGCUUGGGCAACCUCCAGCUGUCUGAUAAUCACCAGGAUUGUAGUAAGUGCUUUAAUAACUUGUAGGCCCAGCAUAAGACCCUGUAUUCUGAAAUGAGAAAAUAGGCUGAUAUGGAGCACCUGUGUUUUGAUAUGCUCCUACUGGCUGAGUAAGAGGGGUUAGGUUGUUGCUGAUAACCACUAUAGUAACCUUGGUAACCUGCACUCCCAUGUGAAUAGGUACCAGCAGAAUUUGAGUAUGAAGUAUAGCCACCAUAGUCUAGUUGUGUAUUUGUCUCUCCUAAGCUCGAUGAAGUGGCAAGAAGUGUUGCAUUAGACCCAUCCUGAAUGGUUCUCGAGGAUGGCUCGCUGUGCUGCACAUGGUGGUAAGUGAAAUUUGAAAAACUUCCACUUUCUGCAGAGUGGUUUUCUACCCUAUACAUGUUCCAUGAUGCAGCUUCUGAACCAGUUGUUGAGGGAACAUAUAAAGACGUCUGCCCUUGACUUGCGUUAACAACAUACCGAUUCUAAGAAAAAAGAAACAAAAGUUAAUGAAUGACAUAUUAAGGCAAGAACCAACCACAAUAAUAGAAUCAAAUUCCAGUUAUUAUGAAAGUAGAUAACUUAUCUAAGAUAAGGUUCUUUUAAAUUCAAAACCCUAAACCAGAUUAAUAAUAAAAUAUGCAAUUAACUUGGAUGUAGUAUACAAAAGUAAAACUGAAAAAACUUUUUCUUCUUCAAAGAAAACUAUCGAAACCAUUUUUAUUUUUGGAAAAAAAACAAAAAUUAGUUGUCGAUAAAAAUUUGGAGUCGCCACCAAUCUUUUAUUAGGGUGUGAUGGGGUCACCUAAAAACGACUUUGGUCUACGAAUUUUAGAAAAACGGGUCCAAGAGUCGGUUACGUAUGAGGAAGGAUUUGCACCCUCAUUACGCCCAAAAUUUGGUACCUAGUUAGUUAAUUAAUGUCUUAAUGUCGAAAAUUUGAAAAAUAUAAUCCUUAGCAAAACUUAAAAACGUUAAGUAUUAAGACCCUUAUCAUUUCAAAGGAAGAAAAUGCCACACCCAAUGCGUUAGGACACGACAUUCUAAUUUCCUCAAAAAUGAAUUAGGCCAAAAUACUCGAGUAAUAAAAAAUUACAAGAAUAUUCAUUUAUUCAAGAUUUAAGAAAUCGCGGCUCAAUACGUUAGGGCACAAUUCCUCCAAAAUCCCAAACUCGGAAUAUUUCCUUUAUUAUUUUUUAGAAAAAAUCUUCAUUUCGAGAAAUCAAUGUGUCACAUCAAAUACGUUAGGACACAACGUGUUGAAUUCCCAAUAAUGAGUUCUUAUUUUUUUUAUUAAAGAGAAAUGGUCGAUUGUUAGAUUUAACGAAGAAAAUCGGAACCCAAUACGUUAAGGCUCAAUUUCCUUGAAAAUCCUAAAUACAAGCAUUAUCUCAAUUUUGAAAAUUUUGAAAUCGAGUAAAAAAAAUGAUAUGAUGCUACAUUAAAUACACAAUGCAAAAAUAAAUAUUACGAUGGCAUAGAAAUAAUAUGAAUAAACAAAAUCGAUAACAAUAAUCCAUGACAUGCAAAAUAUCAAAUAAAUGAACAAAAUAUAAAUGAAAACAUAAAUCAAUAAACAAAUGAAGGACAUAAAAAAUAAAAAAAAAUACAAAAUGUAUACAUUGAAAUUAUGAGGAAUAAAAGACAAACAUAUGAUUUACAUAUAAAAUUUUGGAUUAUAGAUUUAUACAAGCAAAAUACAUAAGAAAAAUAUAUAAAUAUAUAUACAUAUAAAAUAUAUUCAUGCAUUUACAAAAAAAAUGAAAUAUAUAAGUAUAAUAUAAAAACGUGGAAAAUAUUUAUAAUAAGCUUUGAAUGGAGUAUAAAUAUAUGUAUACAUAUUACAAAAAUGUAUAAACAUAUAAAAAUCAUAGAAUAUGGGCAAAUGUAUAAAUAUUAUGAAAUAUAAAUGUGUAUACAUAUAUAUAUGUAUAAAAAACUAUGAAAAUAAAAUAAUAAUAAAGUAUGUAUAUAAUAUGUAUAUAUAUUAAAACGUUUAAAAUAUAUAUGUAUAAAUAAGUAAAAAAAAUAAUCGAAAAAAAAAGUAAGCCACCUUAAAAAACUGCCAAUCGUUUUCCCUUUUUUUUUUUCCUCAUUUUCUUUUUUUAAAAUGAAGGGAGAGACAUCUAUUUAUAGUUGAGCCACCCCAAAUCCAACAAUAUAGAUCAAUUACAUCAGCGACUAAGAUUAAAGGGUAUCUACAAAUUAAAUCUCUAAGAUUACAAAAUCAUAUCUUCUAAUAUUGCAUAUCAUAUCCAAGAUUGCAUAUAUCAUAUCUAAGAUUGCAUAUCAUAUCUAAGAUUGCAUAUCCUUGAAGAUUAUGUUUCCAUAUGUGAGCCCGGGCUAAAAUUGGGUAUUACAAAAACAUUGAUGUAAACUCAAACCCAAUUCACAAUAAGAAAACUCGACUCCUAAAAUGUCACUGUAAGGUAUCUAAACAACAUAGAAACUUCAAACACAAUUCAUUACUCAUUACAAACAAAUCCUUUCAGUUUAAGAUUUCAACACUUCUAUAAUCCAACUGUAAAUCGAUCUAGUUCAUAACAAGAAAAUUCUGCCAGAAAAGAAAGCCUAUGAAACACCCCAUACCCGACCCUCACUGGGUCCGAAUUACAGUGUGCUACAUUCGUUGUCAAGGAAACUACAAUAAUUUUAGAUACAAUCACACGUCACAAUCUGCAUAAACUUACUUAUGAGCAUAUAAUAACACUAUUAACCAAAUUUAAUAUCUACUAAUUUGAUUCUCAAGUUCAUAUAAACAUAAAGAUAUACUAACAGUGACUCAACUAGAUAGGUACAUGCCAACUAAAAUAGUAAAAGUUUCACCAACUCAAUGAGUGCAGUAUUUUCUGAUGGAUGUGGAAAACAAUAAUUGUAUAUGAUUGAACAUAACUUACACACGAAAAACAAACCGAACGUUGAGCAGCAACUUCAUAUUUAUUCUUAGACAAUAGUAGAUUUAAUUCUUAAUUUCAAUCAAUAAUUAAAACAAGUUGUUUUGAACAAAUUUUUAAUACAUUUAUUCGAACCACCCCAUUAUGUACAAAAUGGACUGUCUGUUUAUACAUAUCGAACAACAUUAUUAUGUAAUAAAAAAACAAGUCAACAUUAACGCCACAUAUAACAUCUAAUUGCACAGCUUAAUAUACUCAAUACAUUACCAUAAAUAACAUCCCAUUGAAGAAUGAAUUUAACACGUUCGAAUAGAUCAAUUUUAAGCUCAAUAACGGUUAAUUUAGCAUGUGAACAACAUAUACAUGUUUUGCAUUUACGGCAUGGUUUAAUCAACUUUAAGCAAGAAAUUAAAUGCUGCAAAUUUCCAGCAUUCAAGAUCAUAUAUGGACAACAUUAAUAUGAGAUUUUUGAGCACCUUAAAGACACAUUUGGAAAAUUUGAAGAACCAUUCGAACAGCCACAUUCGAACUAUCUUAAAGACAACUAAAUUUUGUCUUGUUUUGGACAACCUUACGGGUCAGCAAGAAAUCUAUAAAACUACGCCUAACAUGUUAAUUUCAUCAUGCAUUGAACAACAAUAAACAACCAUUAGGCAUUAUAUUAAAUCAACUCUUUAACACAUUCGAACAACUUAAAAUAUAUUGUUGACACCAUUAUUUUGAUAAAACGGGGUCGACUUGGAUUUUGAAAACAAAAACGAAAAAGAAAAAUGAGAGUCGCCGUCAAUCCUUUUUAAUAAGGUGUGAUUAGAUCACCUCGAAAAGUGGUUGUUUUUAAUAAACGAUUUGAUUUUAUUAAAACAACGAUUUUGGUCCACGAAAUUCAGAAAAAUAGGUUCGGAAGUCGGUUACGUACGAGGAAGGAUUAGCACCCUCGUAAUGCCCAAAAAUUGGUACCUAGUUGAUUAAUUAAUGUUUUAAUGUUGAAAAUUAAAAAAUUUAAAGAGACUUAAAGUACGAUCCUUAAAAAAAAUUCGAAUGACAUGGAUUGAGAUUUAAGAGAAUAUUUGCCUAUUUGGUCAAACGGGAAAUCGAAACCCAGCACAUUAGCACACGUUUCCUCGAAUUUCUAAACGCAAAAUAUUGCCUUACUUUAAAAUUUUAAAAGGAUAUUUGGCUAUUUGGUCGAACGAGAAAAAUCGAAACCCAGCACAUUAGGGCACAUUUUCUCGAAUUUCCAAACGCAAAAUAUUGCCUUACUUUGAAUUUUUAAAAGAAUAUUUAGCUAUUUGAUCGAACAAAAAAAUCGAAACCCAGCACAUUAGGGCACGUUUUCUCGAAUUUCUAAACGCAAAAUAUUGCCUUACUUUGAAAUUUUAAAAGGAUAUUUAGCUAUUUAGUCGAAUGAAAAAAUCGAAACCUAACACAUUAGGGCACGUUUUCUCGAAUUUCUAAACACAAAAUAUUCCCUUACUUUGAAAUUUUAAAAGGAUAUUUAGCUAUUUGGUUGAACAAAAAAAUCGAAACCCAGCACAUUAGGGCACGUUUUCUCGAAUUUCCAAACGUAAAAUAUUGCCUUAUUUAGAAAAUUUUUCCUUUUUUGAAGUAAGGUGUUAAUAUGCAUAAUGUAAUAAUAAAUAUGAUAAUGUGAACAAAAAUAAUAUGAGCAAAAGCGAAUAAGAAUAAAAAAAGAAAAAAUCAUUCAUGUGUAUACAAUAACAAGUAAAUAAAACUAAAACAUUAAAAAAAUGAACAUAUAAAUAAAUAAAUAAAUUAUCAUCAAGUAAAACAAUAAUAACAAUAAAGAAACUAGAUAAAAAAAUAUAAAAUAUAAAAAUAGAUAUGUACACGUAAGGGAAAUAUAUAUAUAUGUAUGUAUAUACAUAAAAUUAUGAAAAAUAUGAAAAAUAUAUAUUUUUUAAAAUUAUUAAAUAUAAAAGUUUAUGUAAGUAUGUAUAUACAUGUAUAUGUAUAUAUAAAAUUAUGAAAAAUAUAUAAGUAUAUAUAUAUUUGUAAAAAAAAUGUAUAUAGAUGUAUUUAUAUAUUUGUAUUCUUGAAAGAAAAAAAUGUAUAUGGAUAUAUAUAUAUAUAAAUUCUAAAACAUAUAAAAAUAUGAGUAUGUAUGUAUAUAUUAAAUAAGCUAUACAAUAUAUACGUGUACAUAUAUAUAAGCAAUUAUAUAAUAAUAUAACAUAAUAAUAAGACACGCAUAUUGAUUUUAAUAACAAAAUAAGCAAAAUAACUAAAAAAGGCUAAAUUAGAUUUUAAAACAAAGUUCGGAGCCAAAUCUAUAAAUAAAUAAAAGAGGCGGGACUUCGUUGAACGCGUGAAUAACAUAGAGGGACUGGAAGGGCAAUUUUCCCUUCUCUAAAACGGCGUCGUUCGAAUAGGACUAAAUUGAAAUCAAAAAUAAACUAAAGGGGAAAAUUUAAAAAUACAAAAAAAAAACUGAUUGAGAAAGCAUUAAAAGGCGGAGGGGUUAAAAGUGAAAUUUACCCCUCCGUAUAAAAACACUCGGAUCCUAGAGCAGGCGGGUCGGGUCGGUCUGAUCCAGGUCAAAACGACGUCGUUUUGGGUGUUUUGGAGCUAAGCCAAAACGACGCCGUUUCGCAAUGGUAUAAAUAUCAGUGUUUUGAGAAAAAAAAAUCAUUUAAACACUUAAGAAGGAAAAAAUACAAAAAAAAGGGUUGUCCCUCUGAACUAAGUCCAGAUUUCGACCAAGGCCCACAGCACCGGCAUCGCGCAGGCACCUCGCCGACCACCGUGUACGGUGGCCGAAAAUUUCAAGAAAUGUAUUUUUUAUAAUUUUUUACGAAUACAAGUUGUUCCUUAAAAAAAGAAUAAAGAAAAUAAAGAUAAAAAAGAAAUGAGUAUAAAAAGAAAAGAAAUGCAAAAAUGAAAAUCACCUUGGAGUGAAUCCAUUUGUUUGUUUUUGAAUCUGAUUUGCAUUUUUCUUGCUAACGUGUUCCUACAAAAUCUAUAAAAAAAAAAGAACCCCCAAAUUACAGAAAAAAAUUGGCUUUUUAUAGCCGAUUCUCCGCCAGUCCUUCUUUGCUCUAUUGCCUUCUUUUAUUACUUGCAGGUGACUGAUGCGACAAGUGGGCAAGUGGCGGCAGAUAAUAUGACAGUGGCAGUGGGUCGGUAGCGACUCCGCCGGGGACACAAAAUAAAAGAGUCAAGCCAUGAAUUGAUUAUUUUUUAUCUUUUUUGUCGAAAAUUUAAAACUUAGUUUAAAUGUACGAUCCUUUCAUUGCAUUUUAUCGAUCUUUAUUACAAUUUUCAUCGUUGAGGUUUAUAAUUGAUGUGUUAGUUUAAGUUUUGGUAUCUUUCUGCAUUGCAUGACCGUUCGUCACACCCUUUUAAGUGGGAGUUUGAAGCUAAUCCUUCGUGAGGUUUUCACCUCCGUGCAGGAUAGUGGAUCGCUUUCGGGAUACAUCCGUACCUAUCUCUUCGUGAGAUUUUCAUCUCUGUGUAGCCAUAGGGAAAUGUAUUCCCCUGAACCAAAAUCGAUCCGUAUAAGCCUAUAAUGGGUGAGGAUCGAAGAAUCUGCUGGUUCGGGUACCUUUCCUUUAAAACCAAACCACAUGUAGUGAGCCCUAAGAGCCCACCCUAGGUAGAGCCACUUCAAACCCUUAGUGGUUACCUCAAUAGGUACUCUAUUUUUCUUAUUUGCUUUUGCUUUGUACUAACCCGUUUCGUUUUCAUCAUAAGAAAGAGGUGUUGAUUCAUGUUCAUACAUUUGCAUUACAUGACAUCAUGUGCAUUAAGGACCACUAAAAUACCCUAAUUGAGUACAAUUAUUUCAGUUAAUCUGGAAACCAAAAAGAAUCCACCAACCAAAUAUCACUACGGUACUCGCCGUACAACAAAAGAAAUUGAUCAGAGGUUAGAAAGAUUGGAACAAUUGCAAGAAGAGAUGCAAGAUCAGAUGCAAGAGCGACUGGAUAAAAUCCAACAAGACAUUCAAGAGUCUCAAAGAACUAUGAUAAGUCAAUUGUCGCAGUUAUUGGCUGGAGGGAAUGAUAAAGGAAAAAGCACUGUAGUUGAUUCUGGGGUUGAUCAUGAGGGUCCUGUUUAUCCUUCAGGUUUCACCCCGACGCAACCAGAGAUGUGCCCACAAAGAAUACUUGUCACUAUCAUACCUCAAUAUCAGGCUGGUGUCUCGGCAUCAAUGAACUUUCAAACAGACUCAGGUUCCAAUCCGGAGGACAAUCCAACCAAUCCUGUAGUUCCUGAUCUAGAUGAAAUAGAAAAAGUAAGUGGAACUGCCAAAACAACUCGAAGAUCGGUACAAGUGGUUAGAGGAAAAACUUAAAGCAAUGGAAAUUGCUGACUACCAUCACGGGGUUGACGCUAGCGAUCUAAGUUUGGUUCCAGAUUUAAUACUCCCACCAAAAUUUAAGACUCCAGAAUUUGAAAAGUACAAUAAGACUAGUUGGCUUGAAGCUCACAUCAAGAUGCUCUGUCGAAGAAUGACAGGAUACAUUAAUAACGAUCAAUUGUUAAUUCAUUGCUUCCAAGAUAGUUUGGUCGGGUUGGCUGCCAAAUGGUACAACCAGUUGAGCCGUGCUAACAUCCACUCAUGGAAGGACUUGGUACAGGCUUUUAUGAAGCAAUACAGUUAUGUAAAAGACAUGACACCUGACAGAAUUACACUGCAGAAUAUGGAAAAGAAGCCAAGUGAGAGCUUCAGACAAUUUGCCCAAAGAUGGAGAGAGGUUGCGACACAAGUUCAGCCACCUCUUUUGGAGAAAAAAACCACGAUAUUUUUCAUCAACACUCUUAAAGCACUGUUCAUUAACCACAUGUUAGGAAGUGCUACCAUUAGCUUCUCAGAUGUAGUGAUGUCUGGUGAGAUGAUUAAAAAUGUAAUAAGAAGUGGGAAGAUAGAUGCGUGAGAAGGCGUCAAGAGAUCAACCCUAAAGAACAAGAAAAAUGAGGUGAACAACACGAGUACAUAUAACAAGGGUUAUUCAAAAUCAAUUACGGUGAAUCAGUUAAGAAAAAUGGUCGCUAACCAAUAGGGUUCAUCAAUACAAGAAUCUGGAACAAGACAAAACACUGAGAAGUUUCAGUUCACGCCAAUUCGGAUGUCGUAUAAGGAGCUAUAUCAAAGCUUAUUCAAUGCGCACAUUACUGCCCCUUUUUACUCAAAACCCCACAACCUCCGUACCCCAAAUGGUACGACACGAAUGCACAAUGUGAUUAUCAUGCGGGAAUUAUGGGACAUUCCAUAAAAAAUUACAUUUCCUUUAAAAAAAGUGGUUGAAAGGCUUAUCAGUAUGCGCGUUGUCAAAAUUGAUGAUUCCUCCAGUGCAGAAAAUUCGCUACCCAAUCAUGACUGAUAAUGGAGUGAAUACAAUCAUGAAGAAGUUAAGAAAUGUUCACAUCAAUGUUAUUUGUGAAAAAACUACUGAAGGACCUUGUUAGAUAUUCGCCCUUAUAAACCUGAGAGUGUUCUAAAUAAUGGGACUGCAGAAGAGACCCUGUAGUAUUUAGAGCCUACUUAGAGUAAUAUUCAAAACACACUUGUUGCUUUCAGCUUAGAGGCAAUAAGAACUCUUUUGUGAAAUAGGCUCAUGUCUGAACGUCGUUAUUUUAAUGAAAUAUAUCUUUGCAAUCAUUUUUGAGCCAAUAUUCUUUCAUUCUUUAUUAAUAAUUUUUUUUAUUCUUUCAUUCUUUCUUCCAAAUCAUUUUUUCAUUCAUUCAUAAUCAUACUGUACAGAUAAUUAUUCUUAAAUUCAUACAUUCCUUGUACCUACAAUAGGUCCCUAGAUAUCAACGACAUGAGUGACGCUGCUACAGACUUAGAAUCUCCUUUUGAGCAAGACAUGUGUUUAGAGGGAUCUCAUGACGUUCAGACAUGAGCCUAUUUCACAAAAGAGUUCUUGUUGCCUCUAGGCUGAAAGUAACAAGUGUGUUCUGAAUAUUACUCUAAGUAGGCUUUAAAUACUAUAGGGUCUCUUCUGCUGUCCCAUUAUUUAGAAAACUCUCAGGUUUAUAAGGGCGAAUAUCUAAUAAGGUCUCUUCUUCAGUAGCUUUUUCACAAAUAACAUUCAUAUGAACAUUUCUUAACUUCUUUAUGCAUUGUAUUCACUCCAUUAUCAGUUAUGAUUUGGGUAGAGUAUUUUCUGCACUAGAGGAAACAUCAAGUUUGACAACGCCCAUACUGAUAAGCCUUUCAACCACUUUUUUAAAGGCAAUACAAUUUUCUAUGGAAUGCCCCAUAAUUCCCGCAUGAUAAUCGCAUUAUGCAUUCGCGUUGUACCAUUUGGGGUACAGAAGUUGUGGGGGUUUUGAGUAAAAAGGGGCAACAAUGUGCGCAUUGAAUAAGCUUUGAUAUAGCUCCUUAUACGACAUCAGAAUUGGCGUGAACUGAAGCUUCUCAGUGUUUUGUCUUGUUCCAGAUUCUUGUCUUAAUGAACCUUGUUGGUUAGCGACCAUUUUUUUUACUAAUUCACCGUAAUUGAUUUUGAAUAACCCUUGUUAUAUGUACUCGUGUUGUUCACCUCAUUUUCCUUGUUCUUUAGGGUUGAUCUCUUAACGCCUUCUCCCGCAUCUAUCUUCCUACUUCUUAUUACAUUUUCAAUCAUCUCACCAGACAUUACUACAUCUAAGAAGCUCAUGGUAGCACUUCCUAACAUGUGGUUAAUGAACGGUUUUUUUAGAGUGUUGAUGAAAAGUAUCGUGGUUUCUUUUUCCAAAAGAGGUGGCUGAACUUGUGUCGCAACCUCUCUCCAUCUUUGGGCAUAUUGUCUAAAGCUCUCACUUGGCUUCUUUUCCAUAUUCAGGAGUGUAAUUCUGUCAGGUAUCAUGUCUUUUACAUGGCUGUAUUGCUUCAUAAAAGCUUGUGCCAAGUCUUUCCAUGAGUGGAUGUCAGCACGGCUCAACUCGUUGUACCAUUUGGCAGCCGACCCGACCAAACUAUCUUGGAAUCAAUGAAUUAACAAUUGACUGUUAUUAACGUAUCCUGUCAUUCUUCGGCAGAACAUCAUGAUGUGAGCUUUAGGAAAAUUAGUCCCAUUAUACUUUUCAAAUUCUGGAGUUUUGAAUUUUGGUGGGAGCAUUAAAUCUGGGGCGAAACUCAGAUCCCUAGCGUCAACCCCAUAAUGGUAGUCAGUAAUUUCCAUUGCUCUAAGUUUUUCCUCCAACCACUUGUACCGAUCUUCGAGUUGUUUUGGCAGUUCCACUCUUGCUUUUCUAUUUCAUCUAGAUCAGAAACUACAUGAUUGGUUGGAUUGUUCGCCGGAUUGGAACCUGAGCCUGUUUGAAAGUUUAUUGGUGCCAAGACACCAGCCUGAUAUUGAGGUCUGAUAGUGACAGGUAUUCUUUGCGAGCACAUCUCUGGUUGCGCCGGGGUACUCGUCGGGGUUUCAGGGCCCUCAUUAUCAACCCCAGAAUCAACUAUAGGGCUUUUUCAUUUAUCAUUCCCUCCAGCCAAUAACUGCGACAAUUGACUCAUCAUACUUCUUUGAGACUCUUGAAUGUCUUAUUGGAUUUUAUCCAGCCGUUCCUGCAUCUGAUCUUACAUCUCAUUUUACAAUUGUUCCAAUCUUUCUAACCUCUGAUCCAUUGCUUUUGUUGUGCGGUGAGUACCGUAGUGAUAUUUGGUUGGUGGAUUCUUGUUGGUUUCCAGAUUAACUGAAAUAAUUUUACAAAAUUAGGAUCUUUUAAUGGUCCUUAAUGCACAUGAUGUCAUGUAAUGCAAAUGUAUGAAAUGAAUGCAAAAACGAGACGUUGAUUCUUGGUUCAAUUCUUAUUAGAACAACUUUACAAGAAAACAAAUCUCUUUACAUAAAGCAAAUGCAUGUAUGGCCUCGCCCUCAUACUCCAAGAAACAUCGAUCUUUCCCUUUGUCCGGAUGUUUAAGAUAAAUCUCACAAAUUUUCAAUGGAUGCCACUACUAGCUCUUUCUUGCCUAAUCUUGGUUGCAAUCCAUCGUCUGCCCAUCCUCGUAAUGUUCACCAGUUUCUUUAAGGAAGUCGGAAUGUCGAUGACUCAAAUAAUUAGCUUGAAUUCUUGGGCCACGAAAUAAAGUUGGGUACUCUUCCAUCGCCCUUCUUUUGCUGUGUUUCUUGGGGAUAUAUUCGAGCAGCCAUAUUGUAAUCCACUUUAUCAGGAAAACCAUUUUCUUAUGAUAAACUCUCUAUUUAGCAACUGAACGUGAAUCAACACCUCUUUCUUAUGAUGAAAAUUCAAUGCAAUCAUAAACAAAACAAAACAAAACGGGUUAGUACAAAGGAAAAGAAAACAAGAAAAAUAGAGUACCUAUUCAGGUAACCACUAAGGGUUUAAAGUGGCUCUACCUAGGGUGGGCUCUUAGGGCUCACUACAUGUGAUUUGGUUCUAAAGCAAAGGUACCCGCACCAACAGAUUCCUCGAUCCUCACCCAUUAUAGGCUUAUACGGACCGAGUUCAAUUCAGGGGAAUACAUUUCCCUAUGGCUGCACGGAGAUGAAAAUCUCACGAAGACAUAGGUACGGAUGUAUCCCGAAAGUGAUCCACUAUCCUGCACGAAGGUGAAAACCUCACGAAGGACUAACUUCUCACUCCCACAUAAAAGGGUGUGACCAACGGUCAUGCAAUGCAAUGCACAAAGAUACCAAAACUUAAACUAACACAGCAAUUAUAAACCCCAACGAUGAAAAUUGUAAUAAAGAUCGAUGAUAUGUAAUGAAAAGAUCAUACAUUUAAACCAAGUUUUCAAUUUUCGACAUUAAAACAUUAAUUAAUCAACUAGGUACCAAUUUUUGGGCGUUACGAGGGUGCUAAUCCUUCAUCGUAUGUAACCGACUCCCAAACAUGUUUUUCUUAAUUUCGUGGAACAAAAUCGUUGUUUUAAUAAAAUUAAAUCGUUUAUUAAAAACAACCACUUUUCGAGGUGAUCCAAUCACUUUAUUAAAAAGGAUUGGUGGCGACUCCUGUUUUUCGUUUUCGUUUUUAAAAUCCAAGUCGACCCCAUUUUAUCAAAAAAAUAGUGUCAACAUACAUCAUUUGAAUAUCAUAAAUCACAACUUUCAGACACCAUAAUUGCAGCAUUUAACACCUAAACUUUUAGCUUACUAACAUCAUAAAUUCAUAUCCAUUUGGACAUCAUUAGUUAACAUUUAACAAUUCAGUUUCACAUUGUUCAGACCAUUUUAAUUCCCUGGUCACUUGGAUGAUCUUUAAUUAUUAUUUGGACAACAAUAAACAACCAUCGAUCAUACCACCUAAAUUGAUAAGAAAUUAGACAACAUGCAUGCAAACUGCAUGCUUCAGCAGCUCCCUCGACAGCUAGAAAUUUCACUAAAAUUUCAGUUAAUUCCAUCAUUCGUACCAGCAUAAAGAUGCAACAACACAACCAAGGAAGAAAAGGUAAAGAACUCAGUAUCAUUUAUUUAAUUAAUUAAAUAACAUAUGCAAUUUUUGCAUUUUUAGCAAGUUGAAAACAUCUUUAAACAGGGAAAUUAAAUGCUGAAAGUCUAACAUUUGGACAGAGGCCAAAGUUGGCAUUUAACUUCUCAUAAUUCCCUAUUAUUUCAAUCAGUAGCAGUCCAUCUCCUCAACAAAUUUAAGUAUAUUCAAUUCAACAAUUUCAUACUUAAAAUUGAGCAUUCUUAACAACGGUCAUCAAAAAUUAACUCAACAUUUAAUCUCUUCAGUUUUUCUUUUAUCCUGAAUAGCACAUACAUUAAUUUCAAACAAAAGGAAAGGUAUAAGAAUUUAGGAGAAUACCAAGCUCCAAACAAGCUGUUAAUCAAGUCUGUCAAGCUAAAUUCAUUUAUCCAAAAAAAAACAAUAUUUAGUUAUCCAAAUACCAGCUUCAGACAUGAUAAUUUGCAGCAUUUAAAUACCUAAAGUUUCAGCAGUCAGAUAACAUGGUUUACAACAUAUAACACUCUAAGUGCAUGUUUGGUUGGGUGUAAUGGCAUAGCCAUUACAUCCCUAUUACGUGGGCCCCACCUAUUCAUAUGUUUGGUUGGGUGUAAUGCUCUAUUACAUCCCUAUUACAUUACAUAUGUAUUACUGCUAUUACACCGAUUUCUAUUCCCUGGCCAAAGUUCAGUUUAGCUUCCGUUUAGCCCUCUCCCGAUUUUUAUGCCCUGUUUUACCCUCUCAUUUUCCCAAGCCGAAAGCCACUUCUAGAACUCUCCCUCCCAACAUCAUUUUAAGCUGGCAGCAAAGUCACCUCCACCGCUUCCGUUUCACUUUCACCUCCACCUCCACCGCUCCCUGUUUUACAGGAUUUUGUCGACCAAAAAUAGACUUGUGUUCUUCAAAUGCAGAGAGUAGGGAAGUCUCUUGUAUCAAUCCCAAGUAUCUCCAAAUAAACCCUCAACAAAACCUUUCCAAUUCAAUCAACGUAAACAUUGCCUGCCCUAACAUUUUUACGUUUCUUUCAACGUGUUUUCCCUUUUAUGUUUAAUGUUUAUGAGGAAAGAUUCAACAUUUCUCGAAAUCGAAUCAUGCAUUCACCUUUAGUGGCAUAUAAGGUUUCUGAAAACUAGGGCUUAAAUCCCAAUUUCAACGAUGAAAUAUUGCACUUUUUCGAAGUUAUAAUUCAACUCAGAAAAAAUUUAGAAGUUUGAAUCCCAAUUUUCGUGAUCAAAGAUUUAAUAUAUUCAUAAAAUAAAACUUUAAUUCAUUUGACAAAGAAUUAGAAGUUGUAAUGGCUGCGAAUGAGUUACAGGGGAGUUCUUACGGUUAAGAGGAAAUCCUCGAAGGGUAAAGGGAAAGUUGUUGUUUCUAGUUCUGAAAAUAGGUUUGAGAUUUUGAAUGAUGAAUGUGAAUUGGAAUAGAUUGAUCAAGGUCAACUGGGAGAAGAUUUAGUUAAUCCUUUUUUUGGAAUGUAAGGGGUUUUAACAAUUCCCUCAAAUAGAUUAGUGUUAUGAAUAGAAUGAAGGAGUUGAGAGUUGAUGUAGUUUGUUUUUCAUUACAAUUUCAUAUAACGAGCAUAUGUAUCACCACGUUCAUUUAUAUACAUUUAUUUCAUUCAUUGUCAUGUAUUUCACAUAUUGUCGUUUGAAACAUACUCACCUUUCAUUCUUGAAUAUCGUAUACACUUCGUACGUACCUGAAUCAGAUAUACUUUCACAUAGUCAUUCAUUUCUCAAUAUUGUCCGUCGAACCGUUAGGAAUCAAUAAGGAUACUCGGAUAGUUCGGAAGCUCUUACAAUGCCAACGUCCUAGACGUGGUCUUACAUGUAAUCAAAUAUCGAUGCCACUAUCCCAGACAGGGUCUUACACGAAAUCAUAUACGAUGCCAAUGUCCCAAACAUGGUCUUACACGUAAAUCUCAAAUCGAUGCCAACGUCCCAGACGUGGUCUUACACAAAAUCACAUAUCGGAAUCCUAUGUCAUGACAUAUGUAUCCUAACUAUUCCUAUGGUUUGUACGGGACUUUCAGACGUCGUAAUUUGAUCGAUUCAAGCUCGUAUUUAAUUCUCCCAUGCUUAUAUCAAUUCGACAUGAAUACAUAUAAACAUAGUAAUUUAAUUCGACAUAUUUAAUACAUAUACAUUUAAAUUUAACGACAUUUAUUCACUUAUGAACUUACCUCGUACGGACACGAACUAACCAGACGACUAUUCGAAAAUUUUCGAUUUUUCCCCGAUCCAUAUUCGAUCUCCUCUUUUCUUGACCUAAUUCAAUUCAAAUCUGGCUUGUUUAAUAACAUAUUCAUUCAAUUUUAUCCAAAAAUACAUAAUUUGGGCAUUUUGCAUUUUAGCCCCUAACAUUUCACAUUUUUACAAUAGUCCCUAUUUCAAAAUAACACAAAUUACUCAAAAUUUCCACAAACCCAUGUUAGGCCGAAUUUACCUUAGGUCCUUAGCAGCCCAUUUAUUCAAUUUAUUUCACAAUUUGACCCUUCAAUUUACAAAUUUCACAAUUUAAUCCUUAAUACACAUUUUUAUCAAAAAUCAUUUAAUUAAACAUAUUAAUCUAUCAACAAUUAUUUAUUUUUCAUCAUCAAACAACAAAAACAUCAAGCUAUUAUCAAUGGCAAAUCACAAAUUCAUCAUAAAUUCUGAAAAUUAGGGCAUGGGCUAGCUAGAAUACGAAGCAACGAUCUCAAAAAUAUAAAAAUCAUCAAAAACCGAGCAAAGAACAUACCUAAAUUAAGAUUUAAAGGUGCCGAAAUAUUUAAGCAACCAUGGUUUCUUUUUCCUUCAACUUUCGGCCAAAAAGAUAAGAAUGCAUGGUUAUUUUUUUGUUUUGUUUAUUUAAUUAACCAUUAUUUAUUUAAUUACCAAAAUGUCCAUUAAUAAAACAUAAAUAAAACACUUAAAGGUGGUCCAUCUUUGUCCACUCAAUUAUUCAAUGGUCAAAUCACAACAUAAGGACCUCACUUUUAAUUAACUAAAGCAAAUAAGCACUUUAACUUAUAGCAUGCUACUUUUCAAUUUUACGCGAUUAAGUCCUUUUGUCAAAUUGAGCACACAAACGAUAAAAUUUUCACACGAAAUUUUUACACAUUAAUUCACAUAUUGUAAACACCAAAAGUAAUUUUAAAAUAUUUUUUGACUCAGAUUCGUGGUCCCGAAACCACUUUCUGACUAGGGUCUAAAUCGGGCUGUUACAGUAAGUUUGCCUAUAUGACGAUACGAACUUGCAUUGUGCUGUCUCAUAGAAGAGUAAUCGGAUUCAAUGUGCAAACUAUGUAGAAUAUAGGUUAGGACCCAGUCGGAUAAUGGGUCGGUAAUAGUGAGUAUCAUAACACCUAUAAUAUUAUUUAUUUAAUUAAUUCAAAUAAAUUUAAUUAUUUCUCUCAAUUAAGUAUGAACUAAUUAAUUGUAUAUAUAACCUAAAAUGAAAAACAAACAAUUAGCAGUAGUAUGAUCAUCUCAUACCUUAUUGAGUUUUUGUUUUUUCCUAUGGGAGUUGGUUGUUGUGAGCAGUUUACAUUGAGUCUAUGGUGUUGAGACACACAAAGUGGGAGGUUUCUUUGUUUUUAAGAGAAAGUUUAUCUCCUUUCUUAAUGUAUGUAAGCCCUAGGAAAUAGUGGCCCAGUUUUUUAGACCUACAAUUAAGGUUAAUGGGCCACGUGACUAGACAAGACUGGUUGUUCAGUUGGUGGUUGAUAGCAAGAGGCCAUUGCUUGGGAUGUGAUAGAUGUGAUGAGAUAGAUCUUUGAUAUUGGGAUUGAUAGGGGUAGUUCCGUAGUUGGGCGAACCUAUGUAUUAAUGAGUCAUUGUGCUGGAUGGAUGCUCUAAGCCAAGCGGGGUUUGGUGAGCAUCCCCUUUGCAGGGAUGUCACAAAACAAUUUUAUAACUUAUUAAUUUUACUACAAGAAAUACGAUAAUUCUCUUUUUAUGAAAAGAAUGUGAUAGUGUUAUGAUUGAAUACAUAUAAUAAAAAAAUUAAACAUUUCAACUAGAUGUAUCCAUGUGCUAGUCGAGCCAGGCCACAAGUCAAUUUUAAAAAAAAUUCUAAGCUUGAGCUCGAGCCCGACUUAGCCUAACUCAUCAAGAAGCUCAUGUUAUUGUUAAAAAAAAUAAAAUUUUAAAAAAUAAAAUUUUAUAUUAAUAAUUUAUGUAUCUAUACUAUAUAUAAAGUGGUUGAUUGAGUUGGUUUCAUGAGUCAACUCGAUACCAGCUCAGAUGUAAAAUUAUUAGAAUACUCUUAUAUUAAAGUGUAAUUAAUAUUAUUGUAAGGGUAUUUUCAUCUUUUCAUGUUUUUCUAUAAUUUUCAAAUAAAACAACUAAAAAAUAUUAUUUGAAAAUUGAAUACAAGACCAACAAAUUCAUAUAAUAAAACCCUUGUCACUCCACUAAUCAUCAUCUAUUAAUAUAUUUUUUUAAUAUGAAAUAUUUUUGUUUGCCCACAUUUUGGGUGUGAUAAAUUUUAGGCCUCGUUUGAUAGACCAUUGAAAAAAAAUCAUUGAAAAUUAAUAUUUUCAAUAAUUUAAUUUUUUAGGCAUGUUUAAUAAUCUAAAAUAAAAUCAAUGUGAUAGAAUUUUUCUAUAAAAAAUGUGGAAAAUAAUUAGAUUUAUCAAUUGGUGGAGAAUAUUUUUAAUUAAUUCAAUUUUAAUUAAUUUAUUUUAAUAUUAUAUUAUCCUAUAAAAAUUUACAUUUAAAAUUUGAUUUUUGCGUAGAAUAAGGUGAAAUGUUUAAGAGUUAAAGGAUAAAAUGUACAAUUUAUUUAUUUUUAUAAUUUAAAAUUUAUAUUUAUCAAACAAUUUAAUUAUAUUUCGUAAAUAAUUUUAAGUAAUACAUCAGAUAAUUUUAUAACUUAAAUUUAGUACUUAAAUUUUUAAUAUUUAAUUUUUUAACCUUUAUUUUUUUAAUUUUAUAAUUUAAUUUAAAUUUGAUUGAUGUCACCCUAACUGAAAAUAAAAAAUCUUCACUAUAACCUAUGAAUAGGUUUAACGUCAACUAAAUCAAUGAUGCAAUUACAAAAAAAAUUCGUUAUUUAUCAAAUCUGUAAUUGACAUUGGUUAAUCAUUAAUUAAAUUCUAAAUAUUAUAACCAAUUCACAUUAUGCUUCAUUUAACAUUUAAUAAAUUAUUUUUGAUACAAACAAAUACCAUUUUUGUAAAAAUUUUUGACAAAUUACAAUAACAGGGCAAAGCUCGAACAAAAAACGCGGCAAAUACGACUCAAACCCAUGUCAUACUUGGAACAAUGAACACCCUUGAAAGAACUUGAUAAAAGAUUGAAAAUAUAUCUAGCCAAACAGAAGGAAAUAGAGAGAACAGAGAAUAAACUUCUUUUCUUUGUAUUCAAAAUUGCUUGCUUUUGAAAUCUCAAUGUACAGUAUUUAUAGACUUUGUUGACUAGUCUAAACUGAGCAACAACCUUACCAGACUCACAACUAACUAACAACUCCUAUACUCUAAUAUUUAUCCAUCUUUUCCACAGGCAACACCCGUAGAAAACUCCUAAAACGAGUAAAACUCGAUAGCGAAAGCGGCUUAGUAAGAACAUCAGCGAAUUGAUCACACGCUGGAACUUCACCAACGACAACAGUACCAUCAGCAACCUUCUUACAAACAAAAAAUAAAUCUAACUCAACAUGCUUAAAUUUUGAAUGGAGAACAGGAUUGGCAGCAACCGCAACUGCCCCAGAACUGUCACACCAAAUAUUUGGAAUACUAUUAGACUGAACAUGUAAUUCUUGAAGUAAUGAUAAAAGCCACGUAACCUCACUAGUAACUACAGCAAGACUUCGGUAUUCUGCCUUAGCAGUAGACCGAGCAACAACCUGUUGUUUCUUCGUACACCACGACACAGGUGUAUGUCCGAAAUAGACACAGUAUCCAGUAGUGGGUCUCCGGUCAUCAAAAUCUAAUCCCCAGUUUGCAUCAGCAUAUCCAACUAAGGACAAACCUGUGGACGGACGAAACACAAUCCCAAAAUCAAUCGUUCCACCUAGAUAUCUCAAAAUGCGCUUCAGAGCGGUCAUAUGAAUGGAGGUGAGGCAAUGCAUAAACUGACAUAUUCGAUUUACAGCAUAUGCAACAUCAGGCCGCGUAAGAGUGACAUACUGUAAAGCUCCUGCAAGACUCAUGUAUUCAGUCGGAUCAUCUAACCGCUCACCACCAUCUCUAGUCAUAAUAGAGGAACUAAUCAUCGGUGUAUGAACACUCUUCGCAUUUUCCAUCGAACAACGUAUAAGAAAAUCACGUAUAUACUUCUUCUGACAAAGAAAAAGACAGCCUGACAAAGAACGAAUAACCUCUAUCCCAAGAAAGUAAUGGAGAUCACCCAUGUCCUUAAGCGAGAACUCACUAUUCAGCAAUCUAACAAACCACUCUAUAACAGAAGGCACAUCACCAGUAAUAAUGAUAUCAUCAACGUACACAAGAAUAUACAAUGUUGAAGCUGGUACCACUCGAACAAAUAAGGAAGCAUCAGACUUUGAUACCACAAACCCCACAAAAACUAGAAAUCCUUUUAACUUCUCAAACCAGGCACGAGGAGCCUAACGAAGACCAUACAACGCUUUCUUCAGACGACACACCAAAGGUCUGCCAUCUUCAGAUCGCCAUUUAGAAACGCAUUAUUCACAUCCACUUGCCGAAGCGACCACCCCUUAUACACAGCAAUAGACAAAAUAACUCUGAUAGUAGCCGGUUUGACCACUGGACUAAACGUUUCCUUAAAAUCACAACCUGAAACUUGAGAGCAUCAUUUUGCGACUAAGCGAGCCUUAUGUCGAGCAAUAGUACCAUCAGAAUUCUUCUUGAUUCUGAACAACCAUUUGCACCCAAUGAUCUUACGAUUAGACGGAGUAGGAACUAGCUCCUAUGUGGAAUUACGCAUAAGAGCAUCAUACUCAGCUUGCGCAGCAUCGCGCCACUCAACAACUUCAACAGCUUCUUCAAUCAUAGUCGGUUUAACAGCUUCAACAUUUAAAACCUUAGGCUUGUAAACUCCCGCUUUUGCUCGAGUGACCAUUGGGUGAGUAUUAUCCGUAGGUGGCCUACUAAUCUGACUAUCAGAUGCCGAUGAAACACUUGCAGACAUUCUUAUAGUAGAAUGAGAGUGAGCAUUGUUAUCACUUGAUGAUCCCGAGCCAUGCACUGCUGGAAGAUCACUCAACUCAGUCCCAUCAUUAGCUGACGAACCAUGAGCUCAAAGAUUACCCGACCCAGUCCCAACAUCAGCUGAAGAAUCAUGAGACUGAGACUGCUCCAAAUUAACAUCUAAUACAGGAUCAGUAGACUGAGAUUGCAACCCUUGUAAAGAUGGUGUCAUCAUGCAAGGCUCAAGAGUUGAGGAAUAAUAUGGCCACACAAGAGGAACAACAGUUGAACUAGUCUGACUGGUCGUCGACACAGACUUGUCUGGACUAGUCUCAGCAAAUAGAAAUCUCUGCUCAUCAAAUACCACAUGCCUUGAAAUUAUAACUUUACCAUCGGGUAAAAGACAUUGAUACCCCUUGUGACGAGGACUGUAGCCCAAAAAUGUAGACGGCUGAGAUCGAAAUUCCAACUUAUGACCUACAAACGGACGUAAGUAAGGAUAACAACAGCAGCCAAACACUCGAAGAUGAUCAUAGGUCGGAUCAUGUCCAUAUAGUGCCUUAAACGGAGAACUGUUCUGAAGGACAACAGUAGGAAGUCGAUUUAUAAGAUGAACUGCACAGCAAAACGUAUACCCCCAGUAUUCCAUAGGCAAAUUUGCGUGAGCCAACAAUGUAAUACCCACUUCAACAAUGUGACGAUGUUUACGCUCAGCUACUUCAUUUUGUUCUGAAGUAUACGGACAUGUCAGUCGAUGUAUGAUUCCUUGAGAUUCUAAGAUAGACGUAAAACCACGGUAUUCGCCUCCCCAAUCACUCUGGAACUGCUUAAUAGACUUGCCAAACUGUGUCUUAAUUAACUGUUGAACCUGAGUGAAGCAUUCUAGUGCUUGAGCUUUUUGACGUAAAAGAUAAACCCAAGUAAACCGAGUACACAUAUCAAUAAACGAAACAUAAUAUCUUUUAUCACCACAUGCAACAGGUGCAAGACCCCAAAGAUCAGACACAACCAACUCAAAAGGACGAUAGCUAGUAGUCGAAGGUGAGAAAUGCAACUUAUGUGACCUGCCUUUUUGACAUGCAGUACAUAUACCAUCCAAACUAUUUUUACUUGAAGCAACAUUACAUUUAUUUAAAACUGUUUUGACUACAGAAGUUUAUGGGUGGCCUAAACGAUUAUGCCAUAAAGCAAACACAUUAUUAUUUGAAACUGUAUGUGGAACUUGCGAAUGAGUAACAAAUGGAGCAAUCGUAGACGGAGUAGAACCCACUGGCACAGAAAACUGAUAUAGUCCAUCAUGAAUGCGGCCCAUCAGCAAUGUCUCCCGAGUCACUGUAUCCUUAAUAACACAAUGGUUAGGAUGAAACUCAAAAUACAAAUCAUUAUCACGAGCAAACUGUGAGACGGAUAAGAAGUUUUUCCGUAUACUUGGCACACAUAAGACAUUUGAUAAUUGUAACGGUUUAUACUGAGUAGGUAAAAUAGUAAUACCAAUUGACGAAAUUACCGUAGGAGUACCAUCACCCAUUAAAAGAGAUGACGUACCUGAAUAUGGCGCGACAUCACGUAAAGCUGACACAUCGCGACAGACAUGAUGACUCGCUUCCGAGUCAGGAUACCAAGAUGUGGUGCCACCUUGCACUGGAACGUACGGAGCAUCAUUACUAGUACUAAAUCCAAGUUGAGCAGUAUUGACAUGAGAGCCAGAUUCUGAAGGAUCAGAAUAAUCAGAUGCACGUAAGUCCCCUAGCCGAGGGAGCCCAAUACACGGUUCGGACCCAGUAUAAACUCGAGCACGCGGUUUGGUAAAUUGCAGAACUCGAUCAACACCAAUCGGUUCAGGCGAACUGGGAUCACUUUGAUCAACUUGAACAAAAUUAGAUGACGGAACCCCAUUUACAUUUGGGUCAAUAUUCGGCCCAUGAGUGGAAUUUACCACAUUCAGCCAUUGCAACCCACUCCGUCCAUUUCCAGCAACAAAAUCCAAUGGGGCAUUUCCAUUAAACCCAUUGCUAUUAAAACUAGGCCCAUCAUUAUGACCAAACUGACGCAAACUUGACUUAAAAUUAUUUCUAUAUGGCCGGCCAUAUUCAUUUGCAUAUGACACCUGCGGCCCACGUGCCAAUUUCUCACUUUGCAUGCCAGCACUCCAAUUUUGACCACCAUUUCUAUUUUAACUUGCAUAGUACCCUUGGCCAUAAAUUGUUCUCUGACUUUUGGGAUAAUGAGCCACAUAUUUUUCUUCUUCUUCUUACGCACACGGUCCAAAUUCAGCUCGCUCAACACCCGACGGAACCCCUUGACAAGAGAUCGACGGCACCACGGACGAGGUAUUCGAGUCUCUAUGAUAACGGUAGUAGCACUUCUGAGCCACAUGACCAAAUCGACUACAGAUCUCGCAUUGAAUGCGAGAUCGGAAGGUUCUGCCACGGCCACGAACAGACGUAUGACUGCCACGACUGCCUCCUUCAACCGACGGCGCAUCCUCAACCAGAUUUGCGUUCAAAUUUACCUCCUACAACACUUGAGCUUGACGACUCUCACAAUCAACUAAAGCAUCAACCAAACGUUGUAACGGCAGAACUCCAGUCGACAGCCUAGCGGAGGAGAUAACCGCCUCAAACUCUGACGGCAAUCCCGCGAGCAUCACCUCAAUCUUCUCUUCAUCAGAGAGACGAGAACUAGAGGCAUCUAACAUAGCACACAAAUCUUUAAUUUUAGCAACAUAAGCUUUAAUGGAAAGGUUACCUUUCUUCAAAGAAUGAAGCUCAUGCCGAAUUCGUGACUGCUUAGCACCAGUGUCAGCCGCAAACAGAUUAAUAGCCGUGUUCCACAUAUCACACGCCAUGCACGCAUCAUCAAAUGACGAUUGAAGAGAUGUACUUACAGUUGAUAAUAGCCAUGAAGUCAGAAGCCUAUCUUGCUGCGUAAACACCUGUGCCGCCGGAUUUGGAGCACGAGAUCCAUCGGGCAGAGACACAAACCUCGAUGGCGGAACAACGGUGCCAUCUAAAAAUCCUGUAAGUCCAUAUCCAUCCACUAUUAAUUUGAUCUGUUUGCGCCACUGAAUAUAGGUUCCUUCAUCGAGCUUAACCACUUCAUGCCGAGGAAGACCAGUCGUGACACGAUCGCCAGAGAACACACCAGAGCUAGACUCACCAGUUGCAAAAUCAGCGGAAGCCAUGAUAGACAAGAUCCAGAAUCAAAUGGCGAAUGAUACCAUGAAAGAACUUGAUAAAAGAUUGAAAAUAUAUCUAGCCAAACAGAAAGCAAUAGAGAGAACAGAGAAUAAACUUCUUUUCUUUGUAUUCAAAAUUGCUUGCUUCUGAAAUCUCAACGUACAGUAUUUAUAGACUUUGUUGACUAGUCUAAA